GCGAAGCUCUACUGCGCGUGCUCCACCCCCGUGCGCCGCCGGCCAGCCCCAGAGUUCCCCGCGCGCGGUCGUUGACGUAGGAGUCGCGGCAGCUACUUGUCCUCGUGUCCCCAGGCGUGAAGGAGAGAAAGCGCUGGACGAGCGGCGGGAGUCGGCCUCGGUACAGAUAUAAGGAGAAGUCAGCAGUCUACAAAUCAGAAAACUUUCCUUACCAGAACUCAACCGUACUGGCACCCUGCUCUUGAACUUCCAGUCUCCAGAACUUUUAUGAAGCACUGCUGUAUACAUCAUUCUACUGAAUGAAGACCUGAAUGCCUCAGACACUUCUAGCACCAAGCUUCAUGAUCUUGAAGGUCUUGGAUCAACUGGUAUAGUGAAAAGAAAAUAAGGCUCUGUACUCUCUCACCAGCACCUACAACUCCCACACCCCAGUCCUGCGAUGCCUCCAGCCCUCAGGCCCCCGCGGGGCCAGUGCAGCCCUUUGUUUGAGGCAGUGCAGAGCACGAGUGGAAGAGCGCAGGCGUGGAAUUCUUUUAUUACGCCGGCAAUAAACAGCCGUGUAAGUAACCCUGCCCACAUGAUUGAGCGCUCUGAGCAUCAGCAUUGGGUGUUUUAGGGGGACGAAAACACCCACCCACAGGAGAAUUAAGAGAAUCAGGAGGCAAGAAGAGAUUUUCUAAAACAUAUUUUUAUGCUUUUAUCUUUUGCCUCUUCCACACAUGUGACCUCCCCCUGCGAUCCGGAGGUACUUCUCUGGAGGGCAAGUGGGUGAAUAGGUAGACUAGGAUUAUUAGAGUAAAACGCAAAUAAGAGGCAGGGUGUGGUUUACUUCUAAAACAGGUAAUUGAGGUAUGAAACUAAAGGCCUGAAGAAAGUAGGGCCUAGAGAUUAUGCCAAAAUAUACUUUGGAAACAAAACCGGGGAGAACCAGGUAUACCUGCCUUCUGUUCCCCACCACAGCCAGAAAGGAUCGUGUGGACCAUGGAGGAGGAGCCUGUACAGGAGGAGGAGCCUCAAAGGAAACAGGCAGGGAGGGCAGAGGAGCUGGGCUGUCCCCGUACGGUCAGGCCCCCCAUGAUGGCUGUUCCCCUGCUCUCUGUGCGUCCCCUGACUGACCAUUCCCUGCCUCACCUACACCUACUCACCUGACUGACCUUCCCUCCUCAGAAAAUGGCUACAUACUCGCCCCGGGCCCCAACUAGUGAUUGCUCAUUAGAUCAGAACAUCCGCACCUUGCUGGCUCAUCAAAGGGGUGGUGAGGGGCAUGCUCCUCUGCUGGUUUCCCUGGUAACCGAUGAGCCAACCUGACAUCAAUUCCCCCUGUAACUGGUAACCUCCCUCUCCCCGUGGUAGUGAAGACGGCCGCUGCCUGCUCCACAGGGUGGGGAGUCAUGCCCGGACCUCGCUUCACACAGGUAAGAGCCUCCUAUCCGUUAACACCAUGGAUGUCUCUGUCACUGAUUCUGGGGUCUUUUUGCGGUCUUCAAGCUGGGCAAAUACUGGGCUUACAGGCCUGCGGGGUGCCGCCCAGCAGUCCCUUUUCAAGAGUCCUACAUUCACCUCAUCGUGAAACCGUGAAACCUAGGUGGGUCCCUUAACCCCCAGAAGCAGGGAUGUGGAAAGAAAAUCCACAGCAUAUAUUUAGUCAUUUAGCCCUCAAAACAACUCCACAAAACCACUGUUACCCACAUAAAACAACACCACAAGACUAUUAAUGGCCCCAUUGUACUGAAUAGGAAAGUGACAGGAUUUUAACUCAGGCCAGCUGACUUCAAAGGCCGCGCUGUUAACCGUCACCCUGCACAGCCUUUCGGUAAACAUCACUUCCCUGCACUCACCCCGACCCCGUCUCUAUUCAGUGCCAGCGUUAAGAAGCCGAGUUAGGGAAGGUGGGCUACCAUGUGUCUCGUGCUGUUACUAUUAAGGUCUAAGCUCAGCUGGGCCUUCGGUUCUGCUCAAUCUCCUGUUGUUUGUGCUCCGUCGGCCCCCUUCAGCAGUCCCUGCAGUGGGCCUAGACCUUCACCGUUCCCUGCCCUGCUCUCCCUCAGCCAUAAACUUGCCUGUGAUUCAUAGAGAAAAUCGGUGCCAUUAGGGGUGGGCUCUCAGCUUCUCUCCUUCCCUCAACUAACUCAUCUUCAAGAGCACCCCCUCCUCCUAUCCAACCAAUUUUCCAAGGAGAGGUUUCUCUCUCUAUCCUCCUGUUUCAGACCACUCCCUCCUUUGCUCUUUCACCUCCUCCAGGAGUUCUCUCAGGUGUCUCUUUUUCCAGUAUGUUCAAUCUUCCCCCUCUCUGCUGGGUCCUUUCAGCAUAUAAACAAGGUAAGGUCUUUCCUCUCCUUCAUGUCAUUUCCAUCCAUAAUUGUCCCAGGUGUCAGAAAUUUCCAAGCACCAGUCCCUGAAUUCUUCCUAAGUAGUGAUGAAAUCUCACUAAUUCAUGCUAAAAAAUUAAGCAAAUAAGGAUAAUAUAGGGAGUUUCUCAUUAAGCUAAAGUAAUUCCAUUUAAAUGAUUUUCUUUUGUUCUGAAAUUAUGACUUUUUAAAAAGUGUUCUGAUAUUCUUUGUAUAGGAGGCCCUCUGUAUCUGUGGGUUCCAUAUCCUCGGAUACAGAAGGCCGUCUGUACCACACCAUUUAAUACAAGGGACUUGAGCACCCGUAGAGUUUGAUAUCUUUUGGGGGUCCUGGAACAGAUCCCCCAAGGAUCCCCAGGGAUGACUGUAUGCACCUAUCAGAAGUGUGAAGACUUCACUUGAGCAACGAACAACCCUCUUUGCUGUAAGACGUUGAGAUUUGGGGCAUCUUUUUUACUGUGCAUAACCUAGCCAAGAAGUCCUCAAACUCUUUGGUCUCUGAACAUCUCUACACACUUUACACUCUUAAAACCUAUUAAGGACCUGUAUUGACUGUGUUUCCUUACUUUCUGUCUUCUUAAUGCUCUGGCACCUGGGACCUUGCUAGCGCAGGGGAGACUGCUCCUUUGAGGACUAGCUAAUUCCUAGAGAUAACAAACUCCUCCCUUGUGAAUAUACCUUUCGUGUGCAAGCUAACCUAUCCAAAACCAUACCCCCUCCUCCCCCAUAAGCACCCCCUUUUUCCAGCUCUCACAGGGCUCUUAUACUUUGGGCCAAUACAGCGAUACAUUGUUUUACUGCACUUCACAGAUACUGCAUUUUUUACAAAUUGAAGGCUUGUGACAAACCUGCAUUGAGCAAGUCUAUUGGUGCCAUUUUUCCAGCAGCAUUAGUUUUUAAUUAAGCGUGAGACCAAAGAGUUGCUGUGAGGGAACAUGGAACUGAGGUUGCCUGCAGUUGCAUAGAGGGACCAAACGUAUGGUUGGAUGCUGAGAAACAGUUAGAAUGCUCCUGUAAAGAAAAGUGGCUGGCGGAUCAUUAAUUACCAGACAUUGAGCCCGUGCCCCCUCUUCAGGCCACCAUCGACGAGGCCCAUGAGGGUCAAACACAGUGUGCCCUUCAGAUGCGUGAAGACCCUCAGGAACCAAGGCGUGAUGGAUGCGUCUGGUGGAGAAGAGACCAUUACAAGCCACCUGUUGUUUAAGAACUCUCUCCUGUCCCAUUUGCCACCAAAAGUUACUUCCUCUGUGUUGGUGGUCUCUCUGACUGGAUGAUGAAUAUGUUGGGGUAUCAUUAACUUCAGGAAGCUUCUCUCCCCAGGACUACAUCUAAAAACUUGGUCUCUUCAAGUCCUGGAUCAAUAAAAAAAGAAGGAAAAAAAUCAUCACACUGUGAGAUUCUUUGCUUCUUCAAGAAGGUUAACAGCUGAGUGUGGCUUUCACUAUCAACCUGCGAUUCGGAAUUCAUUUGAUGUUAGUAUGAGCACUGUUCUAGUCACAACAAUAUAAGACCCACACUCCUUCCCACAGGAGCUUGAAAUCCAGUAAAGAAAUAAAUGUGAUGAAGAUUUUUGUUAAUCAUAACGAACUGAAAUCAAAAGGAGGUUCUUGCUGAUUUCCGCUAAGAGAAUGUAGAAACCUAUGGAAGGCUUCUCAAAAAAGUAGCAAAUGUAACUGGGACUAUCUGAUGGCUGAUCCAAGGACCUCCGCCAAGCAGAGGGGAGUCAUAAAUGUGUCUACUUGGAAUCACGGAAAGUUCCAGAACAUUCACGCAGCUUUUCAGGUCUUCACCCCCACUGUCAGUUUGCACCAGCUGCUUCUCAUCACCUAGCCCUGGGGUCCUUCUCAUGAAGCUCAGUCCAACUGAGAAGCCAGCACCCAAAGGAAGUCCAUGCACACACGGAGCAGUGGACAAAAGCCGAGACUUGAAGAGACACCGGAUAGGAAUAUAACUUGAGCGGCCCACGUGUGCUCCGCUCAUCCACGCUGGCUUUGAAUCACACUCGGUCCACGCGGAGCUCUUGUUUCCUAAAGCGCAUCUUGUGGUCGUCCAGUGCAGACAUAUGGCGUGCACUUCUGGCUGUUCUACAGAGCCUUCUGGUCCAGGGCUGACUGAAUAUGGCUGACGCGGGCUCCACUGGGCUCAAAUCGCAGCGUCGGCAGGGCCGCGUUCCUCUCUGGAGGCUCUAGGGGAGGAUCUGUCCCCUCGCCUUCUCUAGCUUCCAGAGGCUGCCCACAUUCUUUGGCUUGUGGCUCCUUCCCGAACCUGCAGUAGCUUUCUUCCGGUAUCUGCCGUGAGUAACCACCGCCAGCAAUGUCGCAUCUGUCGCGGGUUGUCCUUCAGUACCCCACACUUCCCUCUGACACUCUCCCAGUCCCUCCUCCACUUUAGGACCCUUGUGAUUAUGCUGGGCCCGCCUGCAGAACCCAGACUACUCUCCCUACUUCAAGGUCAGUGGAUUAGUCCCUUAAGUGCACCUGCAACCUUAUUCUCCUUUGCCAUUUAACCCAACAUAUUUACAGGUUCUGGGGACUAGGAUGCAGGAUUCUCCCAAUACACAUGUAAAUACACAUUAAAUACACCGUUUAAUAUUUUUGUGACAGUACAAUAAUUGUCAUUCAGUUGCCUUAAUCUACAGAAUUUAUCUUUUUGAUCUAUAUAAAACAUAUUAAACUGGCCAGAUGCAAUAGUAAAAAAAAAAAAUAAAAGAGAUACAAAACAAAUUGUACAACAUUACAAAGUAGUGGCUAUGUGUACGUACGUGUUUAGAUAUGUAUAUACAAAAUUAUACAUGUUUAUGUGUGUGAGAGUGUAAAUACACACACACACACACACACACACUUUUAAAGUUAAUCGAAUGGUUCUGGAAAAUCAAUGCACCACAGAGAUUCCUGGGAAGGUAAUGCUUAUAAAAUAAGGCCACGUUUAUGCAGAUCCAAAAUCAGUCAAAGACAAGAUUGUUAACAAAGAACAUAAAGAUUAUAGACAAAUUCUUUCCCUUUAGUCCUUUUCCCUACUUGUUUUCUUCUCGCUUUCUUCCUG